rnacentral:rRNA from 1 species
GAUGAACGCUAGCUACAGGCUUAACACAUGCAAGUCGAGGGGAAACGACAUCGAAAGCUUGCUUUUGAUGGGCGUCGACCGGCGCACGGGUGAGUAACGCGUAUCCAACCUGCCCACCACUUGGGGAUAACCUUGCGAAAGUAAGACUAAUACCCAAUGAUAUCUCUAGAAGACAUCUGAAAGAGAUUAAAGAUUUAUCGGUGAUGGAUGGGGAUGCGUCUGGUUAGCUUGUUGGCGGGGUAACGGCCCACCAAGGCUACGAUCAGUAGGGGUGCGGGGAGGAAGGUCCCCCACAUUGGAACUGGGAAACGGUCCAAACGCCUACGGGAGGCAGCAGUGAGGAAUAUUGGUCAAUGGACGGGAGUCUGAACCAGCCAAGUAGCGUGCAGGAUGACGGCCCUAUGGGUUGUAAACUGCUUUUAUAAGGGAAUAAAGUGAGUCUCGUGAGACUUUUUGCAUGUACCUUAUGAAUAAGGACCGGCUAAUUCCGUGCCAGCCGCCGCCGUAA